AAAUUGAAGAGUUUGAUCAUGGCUCAGAUUGAACGCUGGCGGCAGGCCUAACACAUGCAAGUCGAACGGUAACAGGAAGCAGCUUGCUGCUUCGCUGACGAGUGGCGGACGGGUGAGUAAUGUCUGGGAAACUGCCUGAUGGAGGGGGAUAACUACUGGAAACGGUGGCUAAUACCGCAUAACGUCGCAAGACCAAAGAGGGGGACCUUCGGGCCUCUUGCCAUCAGAUGUGCCCAGAUGGGAUUAGCUGGUUGGUGAGGUAACGGCUCACCAAGGCGACGAUCCCUAGCUGGUCUGAGAGGAUGACCAGCCACACUGGAACUGAGACACGGUCCAGACUCCUACGGGAGGCAGCAGUGGGGAAUAUUGCACAAUGGGCGCAAGCCUGAUGCAGCCAUGCCGCGUGUAUGAAGAAGGCCUUCGGGUUGUAAAGUACUUUCAGCGGGGAGGAAGGUGUUGUGGUUAAUAACCGCAGCAAUUGACGUUACCCGCAGAAGAAGCACCGGCUAACUCCGUGCCAGCAGCCGCGGUAAUACGGAGGGUGCAAGCGUUAAUCGGAAUUACUGGGCGUAAAGCGCACGCAGGCGGUCUGUCAAGUCGGAUGUGAAAUCCCCGGGCUCAACCUGGGAACUGCAUUCGAAACUGGCAGGCUUGAGUCUUGUAGAGGGGGGUAGAAUUCCAGGUGUAGCGGUGAAAUGCGUAGAGAUCUGGAGGAAUACCGGUGGCGAAGGCGGCCCCCUGGACAAAGACUGACGCUCAGGUGCGAAAGCGUGGGGAGCAAACAGGAUUAGAUACCCUGGUAGUCCACGCCGUAAACGAUGUCUACUUGGAGGUUGUGCCCUUGAGGCGUGGCUUCCGGAGCUAACGCGUUAAGUAGACCGCCUGGGGAGUACGGCCGCAAGGUUAAAACUCAAAUGAAUUGACGGGGGCCCGCACAAGCGGUGGAGCAUGUGGUUUAAUUCGAUGCAACGCGAAGAACCUUACCUGGUCUUGACAUCCACAGAAGAAUCCAGAGAUGGAUUUGUGCCUUCGGGAACUGUGAGACAGGUGCUGCAUGGCUGUCGUCAGCUCGUGUUGUGAAAUGUUGGGUUAAGUCCCGCAACGAGCGCAACCCUUAUCCUUUGUUGCCAGCGGUUAGGCCGGGAACUCAAAGGAGACUGCCAGUGAUAAACUGGAGGAAGGUGGGGAUGACGUCAAGUCAUCAUGGCCCUUACGACCAGGGCUACACACGUGCUACAAUGGCGCAUACAAAGAGAAGCGACCUCGCGAGAGCAAGCGGACCUCAUAAAGUGCGUCGUAGUCCGGAUUGGAGUCUGCAACUCGACUCCAUGAAGUCGGAAUCGCUAGUAAUCGUGGAUCAGAAUGCCACGGUGAAUACGUUCCCGGGCCUUGUACACACCGCCCGUCACACCAUGGGAGUGGGUUGCAAAAGAAGUAGGUAGCUUAACCUUCGGGAGGGCGCUUACCACUUUGUGAUUCAUGACUGGGGUGAAGUCGUAACAAGGUAACCGUAGGGGAACCUGCGGUUGGAUCACCUCCUUACCUUAAAGAA
rnacentral:rRNA from 1 species